rnacentral:ncRNA from 2 species
UCCACACUGGUUCGUAAACAUCCCAGUUAAAAAAACUAGAAAGCA